GAUGAACGCUAGCUACAGGCUUAACACAUGCAAGUCGAGGGGAAACGACAUCGAAAGCUUGCUUUUGAUGGGCGUCGACCGGCGCACGGGUGAGUAACGCGUAUCCAACCUGCCCACCACUUGGGGAUAACCUUGCGAAAGUAAGACUAAUACCCAAUGAUAUCUCUAGAAGACAUCUGAAAGAGAUUAAAGAUUUAUCGGUGAUGGAUGGGGAUGCGUCUGAUUAGCUUGUUGGCGGGGUAACGGCCCACCAAGGCAACGAUCAGUAGGGGUUCUGAGAGGAAGGUCCCCCACAUUGGAACUGAGACACGGUCCAAACUCCUACGGGAGGCAGCAGUGAGGAAUAUUGGUCAAUGGACGAGAGUCUGAACCAGCCACGUAGCGUGCAGGAAGACGGCCCUAUGGGUUGUAAACUGCUUUUAUAAGGGAAUAAAGUGAGUCUCGUGAGACUUUUUGCAUGUACCUUAUGAAUAAGGACCGGCUAAUUCCGU
rnacentral:rRNA from 1 species